GGUAGUUCACGCUGAAGACCUGUUUCCUAGGCUACAGAGGAGGACUUGUUCCUUCCUUGCGCCUAGGGGAAAGUCCCGCGCACCAUGGCAGAGAGUGCCGCUGCGCACGCAUGUAGACCUACCUCACUUCUUACUGGUAGCCCGCCAAGAAUUGGUCCCACCGCAAAUUGUGUAGGGGAGCCGAACAGCGUGUGCUGCGGCAUCACCCAUCAGUCAUGCUAGUUAAAGAGCUGAUGACUAGGCGAAGACAAACACAAAAGAAAAUAAUCACAAAUACAAUUCCUCAGUACUGU
rnacentral:lncRNA from 1 species